CCUACGGGUGGCAGCAGUGAGGAAUAUUGGUCAAUGGGCGGGAGCCUGAACCAGCCAAGUCGCGUGAAGGAUGACGGCCCUAUGGAUUGUAAACUUCUUUAGGCGGGGAGCAAUGCCGUCCACGUGUGUCCUGAGGGAGAGUACCCGCAGAAAAAGCAUCGGCUAACUCCGUGCCAGCAGCCGCGGUAAUACGGAGGAUGCGAGCGUUAUCCGGAUUUUUUGGGUUUAAAGGGUGCGUAGGCGGAUUUUUAAGUCAGCGGUAAAAUGUCCGGGCUCAACCCGGGCGGGCCGUUGAAACUGGUGUUCUUGAGUGGGCGAGAAGUAUGCGGAAUGCGUGGUGUAGCGGUGAAAUGCAUAGAUAUCACGCAGAACUCCGAUUGCGAAGGCAGCAUACCGGCGCCCGACUGACGCUGAGGCACGAAAGCGUGGGUAUCGAACAGGAUUAGAUACCCGGGUAGUC
rnacentral:rRNA from 1 species